rnacentral:rRNA from 1 species
UACGUAGGGGGCAAGCGUUGUCCGGAAUCAUUGGGCGUAAAGAGCAUGUAGGCGGCCCGGUAAGUCCGCUGUGAAAGUCCAGGGCUCAACCCUGGGAUGCCGGUGGAUACUGUCGGGCUCGAGUCCGGAAGAGGAGAGUGGAAUUCCUGGUGUAGCGGUGAAAUGCGCAGAUAUCAGGAAGAACACCCGUGGCGAAGGCGGCUCUCUGGGACGGUACUGACGCUGAGACGCGAAAGCGUGGGGAGCGAACAGG